rnacentral:misc_RNA from 1 species
CUUGCUAGCCGUCCCUCGUGUUGCAAAUCUAUUUAAUCCACACGACUCUCGGCAACGGAUAUCUCGGCUCUCGCAUCGAUGAAGAACGUAGCGAAAUGCGAUACCUGGUGUGAAUUGCAGAAUCCCGCGAACCAUCGAGUCUUUGAACGCAAGUUGCGCCCGAGGCCACUCGGCCGAGGGCACGCCUGCCUGGGCGUCACGCCAAAACACGCUCCCAACCACUCUCAACGGGAAUCGGGAUGCGGCAUCUGGUCCCUCGUCUCUCAAGGGACGGUGGACCGAAGAUUGGGCUGCCGGCGUACCGCGCCGGACACAGCGCAUGGUGGGCGUCCUCGCUUUAUCAAUGCAGUGCAUCCGGCGCGCAGCUGGCAUUAUGGCCUUUGAACGACCCAACAAACGAAGCGCACGUCGCUUCGACCGCGACCCCAGGUCAGGCGGGACUACCCGCUGAGUUUAAGCAUAUAAAUAAGCGGAGGAGAAGAAACU